rnacentral:rRNA from 1 species
GACGAACGCUGGCGGCGUGCUUAACACAUGCAAGUCGAACGAUGAUGGAGGAGCUUGCUUCUCCGGAUUAGUGGCGAACGGGUGAGUAACACGUGAGUAACCUGCCCUUGACUCUGGGAUAAGCGCUGGAAACGGCGUCUAAUACCGGAUACGACAACCGACGGCAUCGUCUGGUUGUGGAAAGAAUUUUGGUCAAGGAUGGACUCGCGGCCUACCAGCUUGUUGGUGAGGUAAUGGCUCACCAAGGCGACGACGGGUAGCCGGCCUGAGAGGGUGACCGGCCACACUGGGACUGAGACACGGCCCAGACUCCUACGGGAGGCAGCAGUGGGGAAUAUUGCACAAUGGGCGCAAGCCUGAUGCAGCAACGCCGCGUGAGGGAUGACGGCCUUCGGGUUGUAAACCUCUUUUAGUAGGGAAGAAGCGAAAGUGACGGUACCUGCAGAAAAAGCACCGGCUAACUACGUGCCAGCAGCCGCGGUAAUACGUAGGGUGCAAGCGUUGUCCGGAAUUAUUGGGCGUAAAGAGCUCGUAGGCGGUUUGUCGCGUCUGCUGUGAAAACUGGAGGCUCAACCUCCAGCCUGCAGUGGGUACGGGCAGACUAGAGUGCGGUAGGGGAGAUUGGAAUUCCUGGUGUAGCGGUGGAAUGCGCAGAUAUCAGGAGGAACACCGAUGGCGAAGGCAGAUCUCUGGGCCGUAACUGACGCUGAGGAGCGAAAGCAUGGGGAGCGAACAGGAUUAGAUACCCUGGUAGUCCAUGCCGUAAACGUUGGGAACUAGAUGUAGGGGCCAUUCCACGGUUUCUGUGUCGCAGCUAACGCAUUAAGUUCCCCGCCUGGGGAGUACGGCCGCAAGGCUAAAACUCAAAGGAAUUGACGGGGGCCCGCACAAGCGGCGGAGCAUGCGGAUUAAUUCGAUGCAACGCGAAGAACCUUACCAAGGCUUGACAUAUACCGGAAACGUGCAGAAAUGUACGCCCCGCAAGGUCGGUAUACAGGUGGUGCAUGGUUGUCGUCAGCUCGUGUCGUGAGAUGUUGGGUUAAGUCCCGCAACGAGCGCAACCCUCGUCCUAUGUUGCCAGCACGUCAUGGUGGGAACUCAUAGGAG